rnacentral:rRNA from 1 species
UACGUAGGGUGCAAGCGUUAUCCGGAAUUAUUGGGCGUAAAGAGCUCGUAGGCGGUUUGUCGCGUCUGCUGUGAAAACUGGAGGCUCAACCUCCAGCCUGCAGUGGGUACGGGCAGACUAGAGUGCGGUAGGGGGAGAUUGGAAUUCCUGGUGUAGCGGUGAAAUGCGCAGAUAUCAGGAGGAACACCGGUGGCGAAGGCGGGUCUCGUGGGCCGAUGACUGACGCUGAGGAGCGAAAGCGUGGGGAGCGAACAGG